ensembl:misc_RNA Metazoa_SRP Metazoan signal recognition particle RNA
GCCAGGCAUGGUGGUGCACGCCUGUAAUCCCAGCUACUCAGGAGGCUGAGGCAGGAGAAUCACUUGAACCCAGGAGGCGGAGGCUGCAGUGAGCCGAGAUCGUGCCACUGCACUCCAGCCUGGGCGACAGAGUGAGACUCUGUCUCAA